AGGACUUUUCCAAGGCUUAUAAUGAGGUUGGGCUAACAAGAAAGAAUUGGUUUUUCUAGAAUGCAAAAUCCUUGAGUCAAGAGAGCUAUUAAAAUAUUCAACAUUUAAGCACAACUCUCUUCCUCACCAAUCUCUCUCAUUCCCAACUAUUCCCUUUUCUUUUUCUUUUGCAUUGAGCUCUUCUUCAUGCUUUUCUUCUUUUCUUUUCUUUUUCUCAUGAAUUUUUCUUUUCACAACAUUUGAGCUCAAUGCUUUUCACUUGCUUUUUCAACUUUCCCCCAACAACCCCAAACUUGAACCUUUUUAUCACAUACAAUUAAGCUCAUCCCAACUCAA
rnacentral:lncRNA from 1 species